CAAGUGAAAUACCACUACUUUUA
rnacentral:snRNA from 1 species